UGGGGAAUAUUGGACAAUGGGGGCAACCCUGAUCCAGCCAUGCCGCGUGUGUGAAGAAGGCCUUUUGGUUGUAAAGCACUUUAAGCAGGGAGGAGAGGCUAAUGGUUAAUACCCAUUAGAUUAGACGUUACCUGCAGAAUAAGCACCGGCUAACUCUGUGCCAGCAGCCGCGGUAAAUACAGAGGGUGCGAGCGUUAAUCGGAAUUACUGGGCGUAAAGCGAGUGUAGGUGGCUCAUUAAGUCACAUGUGAAAUCCCCGGGCUUAACCUGGGAACUGCAUGUGAUACUGGUGGUGCUAGAAUAUGUGAGAGGGAAGUAGAAUUCCCAGGUGUAGCGGUGAAAUGCGUAGAGAUCUGGAGGAAUACCGAUGGCGAAGGCAGCUUCCUGGCAUAAUAUUGACACUGAGAUUCGAAAGCGUGGGUAGCAAACAGGAUUAGAUGCCCUGGUAGUCCACGCCGUAAACGAUGUCUACUAGCCGUUGGGGUCCUUGAGACUUUAGUGGCGCAGUUAACGCGAUAAGUAGACCGCCUGGGGGAGU
rnacentral:rRNA from 1 species